GGGGAUGUGGCUUAAGCGGUAAUGCGCUCGCCUAGCAUGCGCGGGGCGCUGCGUUCGAUCCUCAGCACUCCA
rnacentral:tRNA from 1 species